rnacentral:rRNA from 1 species
CAUGUGGGAAUCUACCUAGAGGUUCGGAAUAACUGCGGGAAACUGUAGCUAAUACCGGAUGUGUCCGUAAGGAGAAAGAUUUAUUGCCUUUAGAUGAGCCCGCACUAGAUUAGUUUGUUGGUGAGGUAAGAGCUCCACCAAGACUACGAUCUAUAGCUGAUUUGAGAGGAUGAUCAGCCACACUGGGACUGAGACACGGCCCAGACUCCUACGGGAGGCAGCAGUAGGGAAUAUUGGACAAUGGGGGAAACCCUGAUCCAGCAAUGCCGCGUGAGUGAAGAAGGCCUUCGGGUUGUAAAC